CCGUAGGCCGCUCUCUUUGUUCUUCUUUCCUGGUCUUCCCUCUUCUUUCUUCUUUUCUCCCCUUCUGGUGUGAAAUCUCCCGGCUCAACCGGGGAAUUGCAGGGGAAACCGCCGCUCUUGAGGCAGGUAGAGGUGACCGGAACGUGUGGUGGAGCGGUGAAAUGCGUAGAUAUCACACGGAACGCCGGUGGUGAAAACGGGUCACUGGGCCUGUCCUGACGCUGAGACGCGAGAGCGUGGGGAGCAAACAG
rnacentral:rRNA from 1 species